GAGCUGACACAGCACAACCUGCCCCACCCCGUGAACACUUUUCACACGUGUUGACUCCUUUAAAACUCAGAGCCAGUGCUGAGGUGGCACCAUGCUGAUAGAAAAGCAGAAGAGGAGUGUCUGCACACAGGUUCCUGUCUGAUGCAGGCCUUUGAUGAGCAGCUGUGAGGGAGAGACCAGAGUGGAGAGAGGCCAGAGGUGUGGGACGCCUUCCCUGUCUCUGGAGCCAGCCAGGACCCUGCGGGAGUUCCAGAACCAUCAGCGUCAACACGGGCCCAGGAUGCAGGCGGCCCGGGACUGGGAUGUCCCCCCCUCACAGCGGUCAGGGGUGGGGCUGGAGGAAAUCACAGAACACAGAAUUCAGAGAUGGAGUGUGGUGACAGCGGCUGACCUGUCCUCCAGGCAAGACCUUCCACCAGCAAAAAGAUUAUGACUUGCUAAAGGCUCAGAUGAUGAGCAUUUUUUAGUAAUAAAAUAUUUCUUAAUUAAGGGGACUUUUGAAUUUGAAUGGACCCUUCCUUCAAACCAGCAGAGAGCCAAACAUUGACUAACUGCAGAGUCAGAGCAUCAACUCAACCACAAUAAACUGGAUCAUCCACUCCUGGCUGUACAGUUUGUCAGACAAUGUCAACGUUAAGAUAGGAAUGGAAUCCAUACUUUGAAGCCACAAUCACUCAGCAAAGUAUUUCCAGCCUUGAUGAAAAGUGCAGUGGCCAGAUUCUUGGCUCUGUCCCCCUCUGGCUAUCACAUAAGGGUUUUAUAUCUCAGUGCCUUUGUUUGUAGAAUGUGCUUGCAUCUAUCUCCCAGGAUUGCUAUGAAGAACAAGUAAAAAAAAUACAAUUUUUAUCUAUGGACAGCUAAUCUUCGACAAAGGAGCUGAGGGCCUACAAUGGAGAAAAGAAAGUCUCUUCAACAAAUGGUGCUGGGAAAACUGGAC